rnacentral:rRNA from 1 species
AUACGUAGGGGGCGAGCGUUAUCCGGAAUUAUUGGGCGUAAAGCGCGCGCAGGCGGCCGAUUAAGUCAGGUGUGAAAGGCUGCGGCUCAACCGCAGAGCGGCACCUGAGACUGGUCGGCUUGAGUGCAGGAGAGGGGAGUGGAAUUCCCGGUGUAGCGGUGGAAUGCGUAGAGAUCGGGAGGAACACCAGUGGCGACGGCGGCUCUCUGGCCUGUAACUGACGCUGAGGCGCGAAAGCGGGGGGAGCAAACAGGAUUAGAUACCCUGGUAGUCCACGCCGUAAACGAUGAGUGCUAGGUGUUGGGGGGUUCCCCCCUCAGUGCCGAAGGUAACCCAUUAAGCACUCCGCCUGGGGAGUACGGCCGCAAGGCUGAA